rnacentral:rRNA from 1 species
AGUAAAAGUCGUAACAAGGUUUCCGUAGGUGAACCUGCGGAAGGAUCAUUACCGAGUUUUGAAAGGGUUGUAGCUGGUCCUCCGGGGCACGUGCACACCCGCUCAUCCACUCUACACCUGUGAACUAUUGUAGGUCGGCGUCGGGGCUCCUUAUGGGGUCUUACGGCUUCCUAUGUCUUCUACAAACCACGUCAGUUUUCAGAAUGUAAACGCGAUAAUACGCAUCAUAUACAACUUUCAGCAACGGAUCUCUUGGCUCUCGCAUCGAUGAAGAACGCAGCGAAAUGCGAUAAGUAAUGUGAAUUGCAGAAUUCAGUGAAUCAUCGAAUCUUUGAACGCACCUUGCGCUCCUCGGCAUUCCGUGGAGCAUGCCUGUUUGAGUGUCGUGAAAUUCUCAACCCCUCGUCCCUUGCGGGAAGGGUGGGCUUGGAUUUGGAGGCUUUGCCGGCGAUGUCGUUGGCUCCUCUCAAAAGCAUUAGCCCAGUUCCUUACGGAUCGGCUCCCGACGUGAUAGUUGUCUACGUCGUGACUGUGAAGUGCCUGGCAGGCUUCUAAUCGUCCCUAGCGGGACAAUCACUUUGAAUCUGACCUCAAAUCAGGUAGGACUACCCGCUGAACUUAAGCAUAUCAAUAAGCGGAGGA